rnacentral:rRNA from 1 species
UUAAUUUGAGAGUUUGAUCCUGGCUCAGGACGAACGCUGGCGGCGUGCCUAAUACAUGCAAGUCGAACGAACUCUGGUAUUGAUUGGUGCUUGCAUCAUGAUUUACAUUUGAGUGAGUGGCGAACUGGUGAGUAACACGUGGGAAACCUGCCCAGAAGCGGGGGAUAACACCUGGAAACAGAUGCUAAUACCGCAUAACAACUUGGACCGCAUGGUCCGAGCUUGAAAGAUGGCUUCGGCUAUCACUUUUGGAUGGUCCCGCGGCGUAUUAGCUAGAUGGUGGGGUAACGGCUCACCAUGGCAAUGAUACGUAGCCGACCUGAGAGGGUAAUCGGCCACAUUGGGACUGAGACACGGCCCAAACUCCUACGGGAGGCAGCAGUAGGGAAUCUUCCACAAUGGACGAAAGUCUGAUGGAGCAACGCCGCGUGAGUGAAGAAGGGUUUCGGCUCGUAAAACUCUGUUGUUAAAGAAGAACAUAUCUGAGAGUAACUGUUCAGGUAUUGACGGUAUUUAACCAGAAAGCCACGGCUAACUACGUGCCAGCAGCCGCGGUAAUACGUAGGUGGCAAGCGUUGUCCGGAUUUAUUGGGCGUAAAGCGAGCGCAGGCGGUUUUUUAAGUCUGAUGUGAAAGCCUUCGGCUCAACCGAAGAAGUGCAUCGGAAACUGGGAAACUUGAGUGCAGAAGAGGACAGUGGAACUCCAUGUGUAGCGGUGAAAUGCGUAGAUAUAUGGAAGAACACCAGUGGCGAAGGCGGCUGUCUGGUCUGUAACUGACGCUGAGGCUCGAAAGUAUGGGUAGCAAACAGGAUUAGAUACCCUGGUAGUCCAUACCGUAAACGAUGAAUGCUAAGUGUUGGAGGGUUUCCACCCUUCAGUGCUGCAGCUAACGCAUUAAGCAUUCCGCCUGGGGAGUACGGCCGCAAGGCUGAAACUCAAAGGAAUUGACGGGGGCCCGCACAAGCGGUGGAGCAUGUGGUUUAAUUCGAAGCUACGCGAAGAACCUUACCAGGUCUUGACAUACUAUGCAAAUCUAAGAGAUUAGACGUUCCCUUCGGGGACAUGGAUACAGGUGGUGCAUGGUUGUCGUCAGCUCGUGUCGUGAGAUGUUGGGUUAAGUCCCGCAACGAGCGCAACCCUUAUUAUCAGUUGCCAGCAUUAAGUUGGGCACUCUGGUGAGACUGCCGGUGACAAACCGGAGGAAGGUGGGGAUGACGUCAAAUCAUCAUGCCCCUUAUGACCUGGGCUACACACGUGCUACAAUGGAUGGUACAACGAGUUGCGAACUCGCGAGAGUAAGCUAAUCUCUUAAAGCCAUUCUCAGUUCGGAUUGUAGGCUGCAACUCGCCUACAUGAAGUCGGAAUCGCUAGUAAUCGCGGAUCAGCAUGCCGCGGUGAAUACGUUCCCGGGCCUUGUACACACCGCCCGUCACACCAUGAGAGUUUGUAACACCCAAAGUCGGUGGGGUAACCUUUUAGGAACCAGCCGCCUAAGGUGGGACAGAUGAUUAGGGUGAAGUCGUAACAAGGUAGCCGUAGGAGAACCUGCGGCUGGAUCACCUCCUUUCUAAGGAA